UUGGGAUUUCCCCUUUUAUUUGGGAUUUUUCUCCUUUUUUUUGGGAUUUUUUUCCUUUUUUUUCGGAUUUUUUUCCCUUUUUUUUCAGAUUUUUUUCCCUUUUUUUUGAGAUUUUUUUCCCUUUUUUUGGGGGAUUUUUCUCCUUUUUUUUUUUUUGGAUUUUCACCUUUUAUUUGGGAUUUUUCCACCCUUCUUUUGGGAUUUCACCCCUUCUUUUGGGAUUUCUCCCCUUUUUUUGGGAUUUCUCCCCUUUUUUUGGGAUUUUUUUCCUUUUUUUUUGAGAUUUUUUUCCCUUUUUUUGGGGGAUUUUUCUCCUUUUUUUUUUUGGAUUUUCACCUUUUAUUUGGGAUUUUUCCACCCUUCUUUUGGGAUAUCACCCCUUUAUUUAGGAUUUUUCCCCCCUUUAUUUGGGAUUUCCCCUUUUAUUUGGGAUUUCUCCACUUUUUUUGGGGAUUUUUCUCCUUUUUUUGGGGUUUUUUCCCCCUUUUCUGGGAUUUUUUCCCCCUUGCUUUGGGGAUUUUUCUCUUUUUUUGGGAUUUUUCCCCCUUGUUUUGGGGUUUCCCCCUUUAUUUGGGAUUUUUCUCCUUUUUUUUUAUUUUCCUCCUUUUUUUGAGAUUUUUCCCCCUUGUUUUGGGGUUUUCCCCUUUAUUUGAGAUUUUCCCCCCUUUUUUUGGGAUUUUUCUCCUUUUUUGGGAUUUCCCCCCCUUUUUUUGGGGAUUUCCCCCUUUAUUUGGGAUUUUCCCCUUUUUUUGGGAUUUUCCCCCCCUUUAUUUGGGAUUUUUCCACUUUUUUUUUGGGAUUUCCCCUUUUUUUGGGAUUUCACCCCCUUUUACUUUUCUUUCUGACUUUUACUCUUUAUUUGUGAUUUCCCUUCCUUAUUUAACAUUUUUUUGGGGGGGAAUUUCCCCCUUUUUUCCCAUUUUUGGGGCAGUUUUGGAUUCCCCCCUUCAUUUGGGAUUUUCCCCCUUUUUUUUGGGAUUUUUCCCCUUUUUUUUGGGAUUUUUCCCCCUUUUUUUUGGGAUUUUCCCCCUUUUUUUGGGAUUUCCCCCCCCCUUUUUUGGGGCUUUUUCCCCUUUUUUGGGAUUUUCACCCUUUUUUUGGGAUUUUCACCCUUUUUUUGGGAUUUCACCCUUUUUUUGGGAUUUUUCCCUCUUUUUUGGGAUUUUCACCCUUUUUUUGGGAUUUUCACCCUUUUUUUUGGAUUUUCCCCCUUUAUUUGAGAUUUUUCCCCAUUUUUUUUGGGAUUUUUCCCCAUUUUUUGGAAUUUCCCCCUUUUUUUUUUGGGUUUUUCCCCUUUUUUUGGGAUUUUCCCCUUUUUUUGGGAUUUCCCCCCUUUUUUUAGGGAUUUCUGAUCCCCCUCCCCGGGGGUCUUCUCCCCCCUCUUUUUGGGACACUGACACUACUUUGGGGUAA
rnacentral:lncRNA from 1 species